GGAGUAGGCAUCCAAAGGGAUCGCAUUGAUCCCGACUUUCAGCCGAAGCAACGUUAGGUUUUGAUGAAUCUGGAUCAUGCAAUCCCUUUAGAAUCCUACUC
rnacentral:pre_miRNA from 1 species